rnacentral:rRNA from 1 species
AAAGUCAGAGGUUCGAAGGCGAUCAGAUACCGCCCUAGUUCUGACCAUAAACGAUGCCAGCCAGCGAUCCGGCUGUGUUCCUCAAAUGACACGCCGGGCAGCUUCCGGGAAACCAAAGCCUUUGGGUUCCGGGGGAAGUAUGGUUGCAAAGCUGAAACUUAAAGGAAUUGACGGAAGGGCACCACCAGUAAUGGAGCCUGCGGCUUAAUUUGACUCAACACGGGAAAACUUACCCGGCCCGGACACACGAAGGAUUGACAGAUUAAGAGCUCUUUCUUGAUUGUGUGGGUGGUGGUGCAUGGCCGUUCUUAGUUGGUGGAGCGAUUUGUCUGGUUGAUUCCGAUAACGAACGAGACUCUAGCCUACUAAAUAGACGCUCCGAUCAUCUCAGUCGGACGUUCUUCUUAGAGGGACAAGCGGCGUUUAGCCGCACGAGACAGAGCAAUAACAGGUCUGUGAUGCCCUUAGAUGUCCGGGGCCGCACGCGCGCUACAUUGAAGGAAUCAGCGUGUGCUUUCCCUGUCCGACAGGACUGGGUAACCCGUUGAACCUCUUUCGUGCUGGGGAUAGGGGCUUGUAAUUGUUCCCCUUGAACGAGGAAUUUCUAGUAAGCACGAGUCAUAAGCUCGUGCUGAUUAUGUCCCUGCCCUUUGUACACACCGCCCGUCGCUACUACCGAUUGAAUGAUUUAGUGAGGUCUUCGGACUGGCGCUCGGAGCGGCCUUCGGGUCGCGCCGGCGUGCCGGAAAGAUGACCAAACUUGAUCAUU